GACGAACGCUGGCGGCGUGCUUAACACAUGCAAGUCGAACGGAAAGGCCCUGCUUUUGUGGGGUGCUCGAGUGGCGAACGGGUGAGUAACACGUGAGUAACCUGCCCUUGACUUUGGGAUAACUUCAGGAAACUGGGGCUAAUACCGGAUAGGAGCUCCUGCUGCAUGGUGGGGGUUGGAAAGUUUCGGCGGUUGGGGAUGGACUCGCGGCUUAUCAGCUUGUUGGUGGGGUAGUGGCUUACCAAGGCUUUGACGGGUAGCCGGCCUGAGAGGGUGACCGGCCACAUUGGGACUGAGAUACGGCACAGACUCCUACGGGAGGCAGCAGUGGGGAAUAUUGCACAAUGGGCGGAAGCCUGAUGCAGCAACGCCGCGUGCGGGAUGACGGCAUUCGGGUUGUAAACCGCUUUCGCCUGUGACGAAGCGUGAGUGACGGUAAUGGGUAAAGAAGCACCGGCUAACUACGUG
rnacentral:rRNA from 1 species